GAAAUGCGAUAAGUAAUGUGAAUUGCAGAAUUCAGUGAAUCAUCGAAUCUUUGAACGCACAUUGCGCUCGCCAGUAUUCUGGCGAGCAUGCCUGUUCGAGCGUCAUUUCAACCAUCAGGCUCUGCUUGCGUUGGGGAUCCGCGGCUGCCCGCGGUCCCUCAAAAACAGUGGCGGGCUCGCUAGUCACACCGAGCGUAGUAACUCUACAUCGCUAUGGUCGUGCGGCGGGUUCUUGCCGUAAAACCCCCAAUUUCUAAGGUUGACCUCGGAUCAGGUAGAAAUACCCGCUGAACUUAAGC
rnacentral:misc_RNA from 1 species